UACAGAGGUCUCAAGCGUUGUUCGGAUUCAUUGGGCGUAAAGGGUGCGUAGGCGGCGCGGUAAGUCGGGUGUGAAAUUUCGAGGCUUAACUUCGAAACUGCAUUCGAUACUGCCGUGCUUGAGGACUGGAGAGGGUAGCGGAAUUCACGGUGUAGCAGUGAAAUGCGUAGAUAUCGUGAGGAACACCAGAGGCGAAGGCGGCCUGCUGGGCAGUAGCUGACACUGAGGCGCGACAGCGUGGGGAGCAAACAGG
rnacentral:rRNA from 1 species